GCCGCGAAUUCGCCCUUAGGGUUUGAUCCUGGCUCAGGACGACCGCUGGCGGCGUGCCUAAUACAUGCAAGUCGAACGCUUCUUUCCUCCCGAGUGCUUGCACUCAAUUGGAAAGAGGAGUGGCGGACGGGUGAGUAACACGUGGGUAACCUACCCAUCAGAGGGGGAUAACACUUGGAAACAGGUGCUAAUACCGCAUAACAGUUUAUGCCGCAUGGCAUAAGAGUGAAAGGCGCUUUCGGGUGUCGCUGAUGGAUGGACCCGCGGUGCAUUAGCUAGUUGGUGAGGUAACGGCUCACCAAGGCCACGAUGCAUAGCCGACCUGAGAGGGUGAUCGGCCACACUGGGACUGAGACACGGCCCAGACUCCUACGGGAGGCAGCAGUAGGGAAUCUUCGGCAAUGGACGAAAGUCUGACCGAGCAACGCCGCGUGAGUGAAGAAGGUUUUCGGAUCGUAAAACUCUGUUGUUAGAGAAGAACAAGGACGUUAGUAACUGAACGUCCCCUGACGGUAUCUAACCAGAAAGCCACGGCUAACUACGUGCCAGCAGCCGCGGUAAUACGUAGGUGGCAAGCGUUGUCCGGAUUUAUUGGGCGUAAAGCGAGCGCAGGCGGUUUCUUAAGUCUGAUGUGAAAGCCCCCGGCUCAACCGGGGAGGGUCAUUGGAAACUGGGAGACUUGAGUGCAGAAGAGGAGAGUGGAAUUCCAUGUGUAGCGGUGAAAUGCGUA
rnacentral:rRNA from 1 species